AAAAUAUCAUCAUCUAACAUGGGUGCAAAUUCGAGAGUUGCUAAAUCUGGCAAUCCUGCGGCUUCUCGCAAAACUAAAACUUUGAAGAGUGUGUGGCGUAAAGGGGACACUGUGGCAAGUGUGCAAAAAGUUGUGAAGGAAUUUCCUAAGACUAAUAAUAAGCUUGUGAAAGAAGAAGAACCUAUACCAGGGGAAGGGACAAAGUUAGAAUCUCAACCUACUGUUCCUUUAAGGCCUGUGCAGCCUCCCCAGAGAACUCAACCCAAAUUACAGGCUAAGCCAUCUGUAGCUCCCCCUCCUAUGAUGAAAAAACCUGUUAUCCUGAAGGAUGUGGGGGCAGCUCCAAAGCCACCAGUUAAUGAUGAAGCUGAUUUGGGUGCUAAAAUAAGUACUGGACGGCAGCCCAUUUUAGUUGACAAAUUUGCCCGCC
rnacentral:misc_RNA from 1 species